AGCUCUGGCAGUGGGCAAAGGGACACCUCAUUGGUGUUGCUGCUCUUCUAUCAGUCAGGAGCAUAGCAGAUGGGCAUUGCUCAUACUAACUUGGCACCUGGGUUAGUGGCCCAAGCUAUUUCCUGCUUGGGCACAGAG